AGAUUAAGUUAUUAAGGGCGCACGGUGGAUGCCUUGGCACUAGAAGCCGAUGAAGGACGUUACUAACGACGAUAUGCUUUGGGGAGCUGUAAGUAAGCUUUGAUCCAGAGAUUUCCGAAUGGGGAAACCCAGCAUGAGUUAUGUCAUGUUAUCGAUAUGUGAAUACAUAGCAUAUCAGAAGGCACACCCGGAGAACUGAAACAUCUUAGUACCCGGAGGAAGAGAAAGAAAAUUCGAUUCCCUUAGUAGCGGCGAGCGAAACGGGAAGAGCCCAAACCAACAAGCUUGCUUGUUGGGGUUGUAGGACACUCUAUACGGAGUUACAAAGGACGACAUUAGACGAAUCAUCUGGAAAGAUGAAUCAAAGAAGGUAAUAAUCCUGUAGUCGAAAAUGUUGUCUCUCUUGAGUGGAUCCUGAGUACGACGGAGCACGUGAAAUUCCGUCGGAAUCUGGGAGGACCAUCUCCUAAGGCUAAAUACUCUCUAGUGACCGAUAGUGAACCAGUACCGUGAGGGAAAGGUGAAAAGCACCCCGGAAGGAGAGUGAAAUAGAACCUGAAACCGUGUGCUUACAAGUAGUCAGAGCCCGUUAAUGGGUGAUGGCGUGCCUUUUGUAGAAUGAACCGGCGAGUUACGAUUUGAUGCAAGGUUAAGCAGUAAAUGUGGAGCCGUAGCGAAAGCGAGUCUGAAUAGGGCGUUUAGUAUUUGGUCGUAGACCCGAAACCAGGUGAUCUACCCUUGGUCAGGUUGAAGUUCAGGUAACACUGAAUGGAGGACCGAACCGACUUACGUUGAAAAGUGAGCGGAUGAACUGAGGGUAGCGGAGAAAUUCCAAUCGAACCUGGAGCUAGCUUGUUCUCUCCGAAAUAGCUUUAGGGCUAGCCUCAAGCGAUGAUUAUUGGAGGUAGAGCCCUGUUUGGACGAGGGGCCCCUCUCGGGUUACCGAAUUCAGACAAACUCCGAAUGCCAAUUAAUUUAGCUUGGGAGUCAGAACAGGGGUGAUAAGGUCCGUGUUCGAAAGGGAAACAGCCCAGACCACCAGCGAAGGGCCCAAAAUAUAUGUUAAGUGGAAAAGGAUGUGGCGUUGCCCAGACAACUAGGAUGUUGGCUUAGAAGCAGCCAUCAUUUAAAGAGUGCGUAAUAGCUCACUAGUCGAGUGACACUGCGCCGAAAAUGUACCGGGGCUAAACAUAUUACCGAAGCUGUGGAUUGUCCUUUGGACAAUGGUAGGAGAGCGUUCUAAGGGCGUUGAAGCAUGAUCGUAAGGACAUGUGGAGCGCUUAGAAGUGAGAAUGCCGGUGUGAGUAGCGAAAGACGGGUGAGAAUCCCGUCCACCGAUUGACUAAGGUUUCCAGAGGAAGGCUCGUCCGCUCUGGGUUAGUCGGGUCCUAAGCUGAGGCCGACAGGCGUAGGCGAUGGAUAACAGGUUGAUAUUCCUGUACCACCUAUAAUCGUUUUAAUCGAUGGGGGGACGCAGUAGGAUAGGCGAAGCGUGCGAUUGGAUUGCACGUCUAAGCAGUAAGGCUGAGUAUUAGGCAAAUCCGGUACUCGUUAAGGCUGAGCUGUGAUGGGGAGAAGACAUUGAGUCUUCGAGUCGUUGAUUUCACACUGCCGAGAAAAGCCUCUAGAUAGAAAAUAGGUGCCCGUACCGCAAACCGACACAGGUAGUCAAGAUGAGAAUUCUAAGGUGAGCGAGCGAACUCUCGUUAAGGAACUCGGCAAAAUGACCCCGUAACUUCGGGAGAAGGGGUGCUCUUUAGGGUUAACGCCCAGAAGAGCCGCAGUGAAUAGGCCCAAGCGACUGUUUAUCAAAAACACAGGUCUCUGCUAAACCGUAAGGUGAUGUAUAGGGGCUGACGCCUGCCCGGUGCUGGAAGGUUAAGAGGAGUGGUUAGCUUCUGCGAAGCUACGAAUCGAAGCCCCAGUAAACGGCGGCCGUAACUAUAACGGUCCUAAGGUAGCGAAAUUCCUUGUCGGGUAAGUUCCGACCCGCACGAAAGGCGUAACGAUUUGGGCACUGUCUCAACGAGAGACUCGGUGAAAUCAUAG
rnacentral:rRNA from 1 species